CAAAGAUCCCUUCUUCCUUCUUCUUCAUCAUUCACUCUUCAAAAAAUAUCUCAACCCUUUAUUCUUUCUUCAUUCAUCAAUUUCUUCUUCAAAAUCCUCAACAAUGUUCUUCUACAACUUUUUCUCCCGUUUCUCAACAACCAUUUCCCGAACCUCACUUCUCUCUGCUCCGCGAAUCCCCCAACAACAAUUCCAUAACUUCUCCAAUCAAUUUCAUUCGCUACUCAUUGCCUAAUCUACAAACAAGUGUUUGUGCAGCUGCAGGGAUGCUGAAAUUUUUUGAUGGAUGCCUAAAGUGAUAGAUUUGAUGCCACCUCAAGUGAGUAAUGGUAUUUGCUGAGUUAUAAGGAAUAGCUUUCACAAGGCACUGGAUCAAAAUGAUAUCUUAAUUUUCCCUGCAGCUCCUUCAGCUGCUUAUAUCAUCGAUUUCUGUCUCAUACCUCUGAUUAUAUAUUAACAAGACAAAUAGAGUUUGGUUCGUGUUUUGAUUACUGCUAUUGAACUUCAUCAAUAUGAUGCAUUCGUCAUCAUCUUGUCACGAAGCUAAGUCAUGGAGUUAGUAAUGGGCAAGGACCUAGUAUUAGAUGGUCAUGGGCAUGGAACUCAUCAUGGAGAUGCAUAGUCUUAAUUAUAGUGUUUAUCAAUGAAGAAUGUAUACUUAGAUAUUUAAUUUUGAUGGCUUGAGUUAAGAUUCAAUAGCAUACUGGCAAGUCAUAUGCACAAUUAGGAAUCCACAACUUGUGUUGUCAUGUUGAGCUUUUGCUUUAUGUGAAGGUUCUGGUGAUCAUUUUGAUAUGAAAGUGAUGUAUAAACUUCUAUUUGAAAAUACUUGUGUUAUUUUAUUUUAAA